GAAAGCGUAGCUCAGCUGGUAGAGCAACUGACUUUUAAUCAGUAGGUCCCGGGUUCGAACCCCGGCGCUUUCACCA
rnacentral:tRNA from 1 species